AAGGAGACAGCUUUGGGGUAUGCGAUGAAUGCCAAGCCAGGACCUAGAAAAAUAAUAAAAAGGGGCAGGGGCGGGAGACAAUACAAUCAGUCUAACUUUGUAUGAAAUGCAGGACAUAGAGUCCUGACUGAACAAUGAGCUAUCUAGGAUGUUGAUGGGCUAAUAUAUUAUAUAAAUGAAGGCCAGGGGAUCACUCUGCUCUUGGGAAAUAACUAUGUUCAAGGGAAAAAAAUAAUUCCUAUCUGGCAUCACUUUUACCGUCACGCCCCUUCUUAAUAAGGUUGCAAUGCAGACAACCACCAAACUACUGAAUUAGAAACAAUACAUAGAUAUGCAACUGAAACAGUUUUAGGAAAAUGCCCAUGGGGCUGCAUUUCUGAAAUAUUAUGCCACAUUACACCACUGAGCACAGUGGGAUGUAAAUGUGAAUAAUCACGAUGGAUAGGCUAUGGUGUACCAUAGUUUAUCACCAACACUGCAAAUACAUGUGAACAGUACAGCUGUACUCCCAUAAUGCAUUGUACAGUGAGAGUUUUAGUUUUUCUCACAUCGUUUAACUGUGAAGGCUCCAGUAGGAAAUACUCUGUAUAGACACUGAAUUGGCAACAUGAAGUCUCAACAGUAGAGUCAACAGUAAAACAACACAAUGGUGAUUUCAGCUCUGGGUGUACAAUGAGUAGAUGACACAAUAUACUUGAAGAAAGAAAAGUAUUUGCUAAGUUAGGGCCAUCAUGUUGUAAACAAGUGCCGAUCUCAUAGACCAGUGCUCAUUUACAGAGCCUUCACAAGGCACCAUCAGUCGUGCAGCCGGGCCUCAUGAAUGACUGCUGGAUAGUUUGUGUGGCCCUGAAAUCUGCCAUACAACCCCUAUAACAUGGAAGGGAAGAUGUGUUGUGGUAAACUGCCAUUGGUUUUCAGCAAGUCAAGAUGACCAGAUCAGCAGGGCAAAAAAUUCUUGCAAUACCUUUAACCUUCAAAUAGGAUAUAUCUCCAUCAUGGACCUCCCUAAAGUGUCUCUACAGGGCCGAAAGUUGCAUAGCGCAGAAGGCAAGUCUUUUACUAACCAAAUACAAACACAUUCCAUCCAUGUCACGGAGCAGCUCAUGAGAGAACGGCAGUAACCUCAUCCACUCUGACCCCUAUUUCCUGAACAUCUGCAGGUCCUCAGAGAACUCUGACUGUUUGACCAUAAACUUACUGUAAAAUAAACUAAACUAAUGGAACUGUAUGUUCCCAUAGACGUAAUGUGCCUGAGACGCUGAUAAACAUUGAUGAUGGUCUGUAAUAUCUGGCAUCAUUAUAUUUUCUGAUGUAAUAUGGAGCAAGCAUGCUCACUGCUGUUAAUAGAUCUUCAUAUGUUUUUACAACCAUUUAAGCUGUAAACAUCAGGAGGGCCUCUGCACUAUCUAUAAACAGGUAAUAGCCCAGACCAUCUGG